UACGGAGGGGGCUAGCGUUGUUCGGAAUUACUGGGCGUAAAGCGCGCGUAGGCGGACCUGCAAGUCGGGGGUGAAAGCCCGAGGCUCAACCUCGGAACUGCCUUCGAUACUGCGGGUCUCGAGUCCGGGAGAGGUGGAGUGGAAUUCCUAGUGUAGAGGUGAAAUUCGUAGAUAUUAGGAAGAACACCAGUGGCGAAGGCGGCUCACUGGCCCGGUACUGACGCUGAGGCGCGAAAGCGUGGGGAGCAAACAGG
rnacentral:rRNA from 1 species